rnacentral:lncRNA from 1 species
AUGCAGACCAUCAAGGCACGGCUCCUUUCUUCAGUUCCGAUCUGAUCCUGUACCAGCGGUCUAAUCAGGCCUGUGUCUGCCUUCCCCCUGAGUAGAGGCCUCAUCUAAACAGCCUUCCUGCAGCAGCUCUCUUCUAAGUGGCCAGAUGGGAAUUCCAGGCCAGGGUUAUUUCCUAAGACAUUGACACAGCAGCCAAGUUUAUUGGUGCCAGGACCACCACAGUUGGUGUGGCUAGAUCAGAAAUUAUCAUUGGAACAGUGUUUGGUAGCUUGAUGAUUGGCUAUGCUAGAAACACAUAUCUCAAGCAGCAGCUCUUCUCCUUUGCCAUUCUGGGCUUUGCCACUGGGGCUCUUGAUUGACAGUUGCCUUCCUCAUUGUCUUCGCUAUGGAGGCUCCA